GAGCCGUUUGGGGGACGCAGUCCCGUGAAAGAUGGCCCUUCCCUCCCGCUGCCGCCGCCGGAGGAGGCACCCUUAAAAGGGCUUGUUUGGGAAUCUUCUCGCUGUCUCUAGAAUCUGUUCUCUGGACUCUAAGGUCUAGAGUCCUCCUCUACCACUUAACUUUUUUCUCUUUCCAGGGCCAAGGGCCCCAUCUCCCACUAAGCCUCUGCGGAGGUCCCAGCGGAAAUCAGGCUCUGAACUCCCAAGCAUCCUCCCUGAAAUCUGGCCGAAGGUGAGCCCCAGAUUUCUCACUUCCUCCCCUUGUGGCCCCUCACCUAAUUUGAGCUCACGUUCAUCCCUCUUCUCCAGACACCCAGUGCGGCUGCAAUCAGAAAGCCCAUCGUCUUAAAGAGGAUCGUGGCCCAUGCUGUAGAGGUCCCAGCUGUCCAAUCACCUCGCAGGAGCCCUAGGUCUCUUAGGGGCAGACAAAGAGCCCACUCCAAGCUGGCCAACAAGCCAGUGGUGCAGCCUGUUGAGGAGCAAGAACCCAAGGGCCCUCAGGCUUCCAAGGAGCGGAACUUGGAGCCACCUUCCUCAGAACAACUGGAACCCACCGUCACAUUCCUGUUUACACUCCUGAACACCUCUGAGCCCACGGAG
rnacentral:sRNA from 1 species